UACGGAGGGUGCAAGCGUUAUCCGGAUUCACUGGGUUUAAAGGGUGCGUAGGUGGCUUGGUAAGUCAGUGGUGAAAGCCCGGAGCUUAACUCCGGAACUGCCAUUGAUACUGCUUAGCUUGAAUUAGGUAGAAGUGGAUGGAAUAUUACAUGUAGCGGUGAAAUGCUUAGAGAUGUAAUAGAACACCGAUUGCGAAGGCAGUUCACUAUGCCUAUAUUGACACUGAGGCACGAAAGCGUGGGGAUCAAACAGG
rnacentral:rRNA from 1 species